rnacentral:snRNA from 1 species
GCGUUCGAAUUGUAGUCU